rnacentral:rRNA from 1 species
CCUACGGGGGGCAGCAGUGAGGAAUAUUGGUCAAUGGGCUUACGCCUGAACCAGCCAAGUCGCGUGAGGGAAGACUGCCCUAUGGGUUGUAAACCUCUUUUGUCAGGGAGCAACGCCGGCUACGUGUAGCCGGACUGAGAGUACCUGAAGACAAAGCAUCGGCAAACUCCGUGCCAGCAGCCGCGGUAAUACGGAGGAUGCGAGCGUUAUCGGGAUUUAUGGGGUUAAAAGGGUGCGUAGGCGGAGUGCCGAGUCAGCGGGAAAAUCGCGGGGCUCAACCUCGCUCCGCCGUUGAAACUGGCGUUCUAGAGUGGGCGAGAAGGAGGCGGAAUGCGUGGUGUAGCGGUGAAAUGCAUAGAUAUCACGAAGAACACUGAUGGCGAAGGCAGCAUCCCGGCGCCCAACUGACGCUGAAGCACGAAAGCGUGGGUAUCGAACAGGAUUAGAUACCCCUGUAGUC